GGCACUGUAUGGUAUCUGCAGCCAGUUGCUGCCUUAACUGGUUUGUUCAAAACUCAGUGCUAGAAAAACCCGACAUCUGGCAUCGUUGGUCUCCUUACCUGGUUAUGUUUGGAGUCCUGGUAUAUCUGUCGGAACACAC
ensembl:snoRNA small nucleolar RNA SNORA8